AUUGAACGCUGGCGGCAUGCCUUACACAUGCAAGUCGAACGGUAACAGGUCUUCGGAUGCUGACGAGUGGCGAACAGGUGAGUAAUACAUCGGAACGUGCCUAGUAGUGGGGGAUAACUACUCGAAAGAGUGGCUAAUACCGCAUGAGAUCUACGGAUGAAAGCAGGGGAUCGCAAGACCUUGUGCUACAAGAGCGGCCGAUGGCAGAUUAGGUAGUUGGUGGGAUAAAAGCUUACCAAGCCGACGAUCUGUAGCUGGUCUGAGAGGACGAUCAGCCACACUGGGACUGAGACACGGCCCAGACCCCUACGGGAGGCAGCAGUGGGGAAUUUUGGACAAUGGGCGAAAGCCUGAUCCAGCAAUGCCGCGUGCAGGAUGAAGGCCUUCGGGUUGUAAACUGCUUUUGUACGGAACGAAAAGCCCUGGGUUAAUACCCUGGGGUCAUGACGGUACCGUAAGAAUAAGCACCGGCUAACUACGUGCCAGCCGCCGCGGUAA
rnacentral:rRNA from 1 species